rnacentral:rRNA from 1 species
GACUUCGGUCGUGAGUAAAGCGGCGAACGGGUGCGUAACACGUGGAUAACCUGCCUAGAUGUGGGGAACAACUUGGGGAAACUCGAGCUAAUGCCGCAUAAUUUAGCACUGUUUAAUCAGUGUUAGGAAAGAUGGCCUCUUCUUGAAAGCCGUCGCAUUUAGAGGGGUCCGCGGCUGAUUAGCUUGUUGGUGAGGUAACGGCUCACCAAGGCGACGAUCAGUAGCCGUCCUGAGAGGGUGAUCGGCCACACUGGAACUGAGACACGGUCCAGACUCCUACGGGAGGCAGCAGUGAGGAAUCUUGGACAAUGGGCGAAAGCCUGAUCCAGCAACGCCGCGUGGAGGAUGAAUGCCUUAGGGUUGUAAACUCCUGUCAGGUGGGACGAAGAAACAUGGGUUAAUACCCUGUGUUUUUGACGGUACUACCAGAGGAAGCCCCGGCUAACUCCGUGCCAGCAGCCGCGGUAAUACGGAGGGGGCAAGCGUUAUUCGGAAUCAUUGGGCGUAAAGGGCGCGUAGGCGGCUUGACAAGUCAGGGGUGAAAUCCCUCGGCUCAACCGAGGAACUGCCUCUGAACUGUUUCGCUUGAG